rfam:Populus trichocarpa scaffold_4_contig_140, whole genome shotgun sequence.
UAACUCGCCAGAAGCUUCACUUAUCGUGAAACCAAAUUUAAUUACUCAAAAUAUUUGAAACUACAGAUUAGAACAAAUCAUUGACAAAGACAAAUUAGAAGAAAGCAUUGGGUUGAGAG